rnacentral:tRNA from 2 species
CGGGGCGUGGCGCAGUUUGGUCAGCGCGCGCGGUUUGGGUCCGCGAGGCCGUCGGUUCAAAUCCGACCGCCCCGA